AGAGAUGAUGAAUCAAUUACAAGAUCUGGCAUUCUCGCACGACCCUUUACUAUGAACUCAGCUACUUGACCUUGAAGAUACUCUGCUGCUUCAGGGAUACAAGAGCUAGCAAGAGAUAAUGGUGCAGCUACAUAAUAGCUGGCAUGAAGAAAAACCAAACUAUAAAUAUAGAACAUAAAGGAUGUAAAGCAAGCUGGAGCUUACAAUAGACCCGUCAAAUAUCCUACAAUAUGCAUCCGAGCAGAAGGGCUGUAGUGGAACACAUGUUCAGUCUCAUAUAGUCGUCUCAGCACUUGAAUUUCCAUCAAUAGAAGUACAAAUACUGUUCGCCAGACAUGAUACUUGUGUCCCAUGGUGCGCGAGUGAACACGACCAAAAGAGAAUGAAUUUGAGCCUACAAGAUGGCUGGCAAUUGUGGAAUAACUUGAUGACUCAGGCAAUAAUGGUGUCAUUUUCAUAUAUGCAUAGAACCAUAUUGCCAGAAGCAAAAUUGUUGUUGCCAGCACUCCGACCACAUAAAAAUGCAUGAAGUAUUUUUGUGGAACAGAGGAACCAGAGGAUGAGGCGGGGGAGGGCCUCACGGUCUUGCCGCGGGAGGAGAAGGCCGAGAGCAGCCGGCGAAGGAGGUGACCACCA
rnacentral:sRNA from 1 species